UGCACGUACAUUACGAGUAUUUAUUAAUUUAUACUUGACAACGUAUUACUAACGAGUCAUAUUCUGACCGUAUAUAAUCUAUUAUUGAAUUUUAUGCGAAUAAAAUAUUUUACAACUACAAUAUUUUAGACAAAAUUCAAUAAUAGGUUUGAAUUCGCGCCGUUCGAAACGCGCACUAUAUCUGUGAUUUACCGCUCUCCCGCCUCGCGCCGAGAGCGGCGCACUAUAUAGUUAGUUGAUUCUCGGAAGAACAUUCCUUUUUGCUAUUGCGACUUGUGCUUUAACAGCAAAAAACCUCUCUCGCUGACAAAUCGUUGAUUCUCAACAAUUAUCAGUGCCACAUACUCGAUAAUCACCAGUGCUAUUGAUUAAUCAACUCAAUUGUGUAAGUUUAAUGUAUUAUUUUUAUAUAUGUAUACGGAAAUUUCGGUAAUUUGUUUAUAUACGUCGAUAUUGUGGUUCGAACAAUCGCGCCUUUACAUAGCUUUUUUUGCGGCAGUCUAGCUUUCGGGUUUGAAGUUUUAGCUUUUGAAUUUUUCUACAACCAAUUUAUUUUGCAGUGAUUUAUCUUUGAUAAAAUUAAUUUUUUUGUACGCAUUCGUGCUUUUUCACAGAUACAGAUAUAGUCGAAAAGUGCCGCCACGGUUCUCGAGGAGGCUGUUCACCGUCGUCCUUCAUCGAAGGAAGCUGUCCAGCCGGUCCAGGGAGAAGGCUCAGCUAAUCGACUACUUCUGGACAUUUUUUUAUCUUUUCUCAUAAUAUCUGCUCAUACGGUUCAUCCUGUCACUCAUACUUCUUCUCUCAUACUUUUUCUCAUUCUCUCUCUCUCUCUCUCUCUCUCUCUCCCUCUCAUUAUUCAUUCUAUUACAUAUAUAUACCUAUAUUAAUAAUUUUUAAUUUUUACUAAUUCUCUCUGCCACUUUCUGUUUUCGAACCCAUCUUCGACUCUACAUCAGGAUCAACCACUGGUUACAACCCUUACUGUACCUGGGAAAUAUAGAGCUUGCUGAAAACAAUAGCUGCGGAGGACCACAUCCAAUCUACACGGACAACAGGUGACCUGACAACUUGCUUCAGACAACUACCCAGGAGUUCCAGUUAUUAAGAACCUCAUCUUUCAACGAUAACUGCAAUAGCUGGAUUUGCGAUGCUCAAGAUGCAGCAUUCUAUGGUGUCUGCUUUAUCGAAGACUGGUGCCAACGCACGAACCAGAGAGCUCAUCUGCUCCGAUGGAAAAAAGAAGAAAAGUACCCUAGUGCUCUAGAUUAGGGAUUAGAAUGUGAGGGGUUAGCUUCUCUUAGGAACGUCGUCUUAAUUAACCUUUGGAAAGAAAUGCCCGAAACAGCAGUCUUUCCAAGACUAUGCGUACAAAUUGUAAAGCUGGAUACAAAUACGUUGUAAAACUGAAUACAGAAGUAUGAACAGUUUUAGUGUAUACGUAACUUUAUUCAGUUAUCACGAAUAACUCUGUACCAACUCCCAGCUUUACAAUUUUUGACUGUAAAGUCUUGGAAAGAUCCUUGCAGUAAAUUUCUUAGCUGCAGUAAUUAAUAUAA
rnacentral:lncRNA from 1 species